rnacentral:rRNA from 1 species
AUGUCGUAUAGUCGCUCUCAAACUUAUUCCAUGGCUGCUGAGCAGAGAUUUGUUCGAGAUGCUUCCAAGAAUAACAAUGUCGAAAGUUAUGUGCCAACAUCGCUACUACAUGCACCACCACAGCAGCAGCAUCAACCUCUACGCGAUCGCAGCAAGAAACGAACAAAGGAAGGGCCGGAACAACUCGACAGCACGAAAAGCUACACCCACAUGUCUGCACGAACAUGGCAGCCGGAUUCCACGGGACGGGACACGGUGUCCAUACGACCGAUGGACGGCGGAUCACUCCGGGAUGGCGACGAGCAUCGGCCGCCACUGCCUCCGCAUCAUCAGCCGCCGCCGGAACCCGCCGAACAUGAACCUCCGGUACUGCUGCACGGCCACGGCGCUAACUGCCAGCGGCGCGUCCGCUGUGGUUACCUCGGGGCGAACCAACUCCAUGUCCGCGUGAUGCUGCCGUUGCCGCUCAGGCGGCAGCAGCACGUGCUGGAAGACCUGGACGUCCUUCCUGGCGCUGCGGCGGACGGCGCCGGCGACGUCCGGCCCCAGGAGCUCCUCCAGGGAGCCGCUCCGGCCGAGGAGGCUCCUCUUCUCCCCGCAGCCGUCCCCCUGCUGGUCCCCGGCGCCCGCGGGCGGUCUGUGCAACUUGUUGCCGCGGCAGAGCAGCCGGCGCACCAGCAGCCACAGGCUCUUCGCCUUCGGCCUGAUCUGCAGCGUCCCCGCAGCCAUCUCUCCGACUAUCUCCUACCACUGCUCCCUCUCCCUCUCUCUGCCUCUCCGGGAUAUGGCCGUCGGAUUAUAUACCUCUCAAUCUCUCAUAUUCUUGUCCGGUUGGCGCCGCAGCUCGUCGCUCUGGAGGAGGAGUGGAGGACGACCGACCUGGGACCUGGGAUUCAGGGGAGGAUCCAGAAAUAA